GACGAACGCUGGCGGCGUGCUUAACACAUGCAAGUCGAACGGAAAGGCCCUGCUUGCAGGGUACUCGAGUGGCGAACGGGUGAGUAACACGUGGGUGAUCUGCCCUGCACUUCGGGAUAAGCCUGGGAAACUGGGUCUAAUACCGGAUAGGAGCCAUUUUUAGUGUGAUGGUUGGAAAGUUUUUUCGGUGUAGGAUGAGCUCGCGGCCUAUCAGCUUGUUGGUGGGGUAAUGGCCUACCAAGGCGGCGACGGGUAGCCGGCCUGAGAGGGUGGACGGCCACAUUGGGACUGAGAUACGGCCCAGACUCCUACGGGAGGCAGCAGUGGGGAAGAUUGCACAAUGGGCGCAAGCCUGAUGCAGCGACGCCGCGUGGGGGAUGACGGCCUUCGGGUUGUAAACUCCUUUCGCUAGGGACGAAGCUUUUUUUGACGGUACCUAGAUAAGAAGCACCGGCUAACUACGUG
rnacentral:rRNA from 1 species